rnacentral:rRNA from 1 species
UACGUAGGGGGCUAGCGUUGUCCGGAUUUAUUGGGCGUAAAGAGCGUGUAGGCGGCCAGGUAGGUCUGCUGUGAAAACUCGAGGCUCAACCUCGAGACGUCGGCGGAAACCAUCUGGCUAGAGUCCGGAAGAGGAGAGUGGAAUUCCUGGUGUAGCGGUGAAAUGCGCAGAUAUCAGGAAGAACACCCGUGGCGAAGGCGGCUCUCUAGGACGGUACUGACGCUGAGACGCGAAAGCGUGGGGAGCGAACAGG